ACGAACGCUGGCGGCGUGCUUAACACAUGCCAGUCGAACGGAAAGGCCCUGCUUUUGUGGGGUGCUCGAGUGGCGAACGGGUGAGUAACACGUGAGUAACCUGCCCUUGACUUUGGGAUAACUUCAGGAAACUGGGGCUAAUACCGGAUAGGAGCUCCUGCUGCAUGGUGGGGGUUGGAAAGUUUCGGCGGUUGGGGAUGGACUCGCGGCUUAUCAGCUUGUUGGUGGGGUAGUGGCUUACCAAGGCUUUGACGGGUAGCCGGCCUGAGAGGGUGACCGGCCACAUUGGGACUGAGAUACGGCCCAGACUCCUACGGGAGGCAGCAGUGGGGAAUAUUGCACAAUGGGCGGAAGCCUGAUGCAGCAACGCCGCGUGCGGGAUGACGGCCUUCGGGUUGUAAACCGCUUUCGCCUGUGACGAAGCGUGAGUGACGGUAAUGGGUAAAGAAGCACCGGCUAACUAUGUG
rnacentral:rRNA from 1 species